UACGAAGGGGGCUAGCGUUGUUCGGAAUCACUGGGCGUAAAGCGCACGCAGGCGGAUUGAUAAGUCAGGGGUGAAAUCCCGGAGCUCAACUUCGGAAUUGCCUUUGAGACUGAGUGGUUUGAGUACGAGAGAGGUGAGUGGAAUUCCCAGUGUAGAGGUGAAAUUCGUAGAUAUUGGGAAGAACACCGGUGGCGAAGGCGGCUCACUGGCUCGUAACUGACGCUCAUGCACGACAGCGUGGGGAUCAAACAGG
rnacentral:rRNA from 1 species